rnacentral:rRNA from 1 species
GAUGAACGCUGGCGGCGUGCCUAAUACAUGCAAGUCGAGCGAACAGACGCGGAGCUUGCUCCUCUGACGUUAGCGGCGCACGGGUGAGUAACACGUGUAUAAUCUACCUAUAAGACUGGGAUAACUUCGGGAAACCGGAGCUAAUACCGGAUAAUAUAUUGAACCGCAUUGUUCAAUAGUGAAAGACGGUGUUUCUGUCACUUAUAGAUGGAUCCGCGCCGGAUUAGCUAGUUGGUAAGGUUACGGCUUACCAAGGCAAGGAUGCGUAGCCGACAGGCGAGGGUGGUCGGCCGCACUGGAAGUGAGACACGGUACAGAGGGCCAGGGGAGGGAGCAGGAGGGCAUCUUCCGGAAUGAGCGAAAGACUGAGGGAGAAGCGCCGAGGGAUGAUGGAACGUCGCCGGAUCGUAAAUGACGGUUAUUGGGGAAGAAAAAGUGUGUAAGUAACUAUGCGCGUCUGGACGGUAACUAAGUAGAGAGCCACGGGCAAAUACGGGC